UACGUAGGGUGCGAGCGUUAAUCGGAAUUACUGGGCGUAAAGCGUGCGCAGGCGGUUCGUUGUGUCGGCGGUGAAAGCCCCGGGCUUAACCUGGGAAUGGCCGUCGAAACUGGCGAACUGGAGUGUGGCAGAGGGGGGUGGAAUUCCGCGUGUAGCAGUGAAAUGCGUAGAGAUGCGGAGGAACACCGAUGGCGAAGGCAGCCCCCUGGGCUGACACUGACGCUUAGGCACGAAAGCGUGGGGAGCAAACAGG
rnacentral:rRNA from 1 species